UGUGUGUGUCUGACUGUGUGAGUGUGUGUCUGACUGUGUGUGUCUGACUGUGUCUGUUAGUGUGUAUGUGUGUGUCUGACUGUGUGUCAGUGAGUGUGUGUUUGCCUGUGUGUGUGUGUGUGUCUGUUAGUGUGUAUGUUUGCCUGUGAGUGUGUGUGUGCCUGUGAGUGUGUGUGUCAGUGAGUGUGUGUUUGUUAGUGUGUGUGGCUGCUAGUGAGUGAGUGUGUGUCUCACUGUGUUUGUCUGUUAGUGUGUAUGUGUGUGUCUGACUGUGUGUCAGUGGGUGUGUGUGUGUCUGACUGUGUGAGUGUGUGUGUCAGUGAGUGUGUGUCUGUUAGUGAGUGUGAGUGUGUCUGUCAGUGAAUGUAUGUGUGUGUGUGUAUUUAGAAG